GACGAACGCUGGCGGCGUGCUUAACACAUGCAAGUCGAACGGAAAGGCCCUGCUUUUGUGGGGUGCUCGAGUGGCGAACGGGUGAGUAACACGUGAGUAACCUGCCCUUGACUUUGGGAUAACUUCAGGAAACUGGGGCUAAUACCGGAUAGGAGCUACUGCUGCAUGGUGGGGGUUGGAAAGUUUCGGCGGUUGGGGAUGGAUUCGCGGCUUAUCAGCUUGUUGGUGGGGUAGUGGCUUACCAAGGCUUUGACGGGUAGCCGGCCUGAGAGGGUGACCGGCCACAUUGGGACUGAUAUACGGCCCAGACUCCUACGGGAGGCAGCAGUGGGGAAUAUUGCACAAUGGGCGGAAGCCUGAUGCAGCAACUCCGCGUGCGGGAUGACGGCCUUCGGGUUGUAAACCGCUUUCGCCUGUGACGAAGCGUGAGUGACGGUAAUGGGUAAAGAAGCACCAGCUAACUACGUG
rnacentral:rRNA from 1 species